CGAGGGGCAGCAUUUUAGUUUGCUUGCAAACUAAAGAUGGCGACCGGCGCACGGGUGAGUAACACGUAUCCAACCUGCCGAUAACUCGGGGAUAGCCUUUCGAAAGAAAGAUUAAUAUCCUAUAGUAUAUUUUCUCCGCAUGGCGAGAAUAUUAAAGAAUUUCGGUUAUCGAUGGGGAUGCGUUCCAUUAGUUUGUUGGCGGGGUAACGGCCCACCAAGACUACGAUGGAUAGGGGUUCUGAGAGGAAGGUCCCCCACAUUGGAACUGAGACACGGUCCAAACUCCUACGGGAGGCAGCAGUGAGGAAUAUUGGUCAAUGGACGAGAGUCUGAACCAGCCAAGUAGCGUGAAGGAUGACUGCCCUAUGGGUUGUAAACUUCUUUUAUAUGGGAAUAAAGUAUUCCACGUGUGGGAUUUUGUAUGUACCAUAUGAAUAAGGAUCGGCUAACUCCGUGC
rnacentral:rRNA from 1 species